rnacentral:lncRNA from 1 species
UCUCCUUCUCUUUAUCCACACUCCUCCAUCCCUCUCUCCUUCCCUUUGUCCACACUCCUCCAUCCCUCUAUCCCUCUCUCCUUCCCUUUAGCCACACUCCUCCAUCCCUCUAUCCCUCUCUCCUUCCCUUUAUCCACACUCCUCAAUCCCUCUAUCCUUCCCUUUAUCCACAUUCCUCCAUCCCACUAUCCCUCUCUCUUUCCCUUUAUCCAUACUCCUCUAUCUCUCAAUCCCUUCACACUCUCUCCUUCCCUUCACCCUCUCUGCUUCCGUUUAUCCACACUCCUCCAUCCCUCUCUCCUUCCCUUUAUUCAUACUCCUCUAUCUCUCCAUCCCUCCAUCCCUUCACCCUCUCUCCUUCCCUUUAUCCACACUCCUCCAUCCCUCUCUCCUUCCCUUUAUCCAUACUCCUUCAUCUCUCCAUCCCUCUGUCUCUUCACCCUCUCUCCUUCCCUUUAUCCACACUCCUCCAUCCCAUCAUUCCUCUCUCCUUCCCUUUAUCCGCACUCCUCCAUCCCUCUAUCCUUCUCUUUAUCCAAACUCCUCCAUCCCUCCAUCUCUCCACCCUCCUCCUCCUCAGUAGACGAAGCUCCAGUCUCUCCAGAGAACUCUUCAGAAAGUGUCAUACAGUGUCCGAAUACUUUUCAACAUAGUGUAUUUCACUUUAUCUUUAUUCUUUAUCGCUUUUUUCUUUAUCUUUUUCACCUCUCUAUUUAUCCCUGUUUGCCUUUUCACUCUCUUUCUCUCUUUACUCUUCACUUUGUUUUUUUCUUGUGCUCUUUUUUUUACAUUUUUGUUCACAGAGCUUUCUGUCUCUCUCUUUUCAUCUUCUUUGUUUACUUUAUUCCCCCCCCACACUCUCUUUCUCUCAAUCUCUACUUUCUUUCACUUUGUAUAUCUCUCUCUCCCUAAUCCAUUUCUUAUUGCUCUCUCUUUAUUUCUCUACCUUUUUUUUUUACCUCAUCUCUCCCUCUCUCUCUCUCUCUCUCUCUCUCUCUCUCUCAUUUCUCUUGUUUUCUCUAUGUCUUCUUCAUGUCUGUUUCUCGUUUGUCUUUCACUUUAUAAGUCUCGCCCCAACAUCCUCUUUUUCUCUUUCUUUCUUUUCUCUCAAUUUUUGCAUCUCUUUGGCUUUUU